AACUAACGCUGGCGGCGUGCCUAACACAUGCAAGUUGUACGAGAAAGUUGGCUUCGGCCGAUGAGUAAAGUGGCGCACGGGUGAGUAACGCGUGGAUAAUCUACCUUUCAGUUGGGAAUAACGCACCGAAAGGUGCGCUAAUACCGAAUAAUACUGCACAACUACUGUUGUGUAGUCAAAGACGGCCUCUGCUUGCAAGCUUUCGCUGAAUGAUGAGUCCGCGUACCAUUAGCUAGUUGGUAGGGUAAUGGCCUACCAAGGCUACGAUGGUUAGCUGGUCUGAGAGGAUGAUCAGCCACACUGGAACUGAGACACGGUCCAGACUCCCACGGGAGGCAGCAGUGAGGAAUAUUGCGCAAUGGGGGCAACCCUGACGCAGCAACGCCGCGUGAGUGAGGAAGGUUUUCGGACCGUAAAGCUCUGUCGAGCGGGAAGAAAUGCAUGGUGGCUAAUAUCCAUCAUGCUUGACGGUACCGCUAAAGGAAGCACCGGCUAACUCCGUGCCAGCCGCCGCAGUAAAAC
rnacentral:rRNA from 1 species